UAUAAAUCUAACGGUCUCUGCCAUUUUCCAACUAACCCGUCGGCCUUCGCUACGCCUGCACCCAACGCUCAAUAACCCCUCCUUCACCCUCCUCUCCUCUACCUCUAUUUAAAGCACCCAUUUCAGUUGAACCCACUCAGGAAUUUUGGGUCAUCUGAAAUUUCCUAACCUAUAAUUUCAACAAACGCCCUCAUUUUCUCGCACUUUCCUUCCAUUCUUCCACCUUUCCGAGAAAACAAUCAGCAAUGGAGUUUUGUCAGGACAAAGGUACUACUUCACCAGGGUUUUGCACUACUGAUCCAUUGAACUGGGGCUUGGCUGCUGAAUCGUUGAAGGGUAGCCACCUUGAUGAGGUCAAGCGCAUGGUGGAUGACUACAGGAAGCCUGUGGUCAAGCUAGGGGGUGAGACCCUG
rnacentral:misc_RNA from 1 species